UUCCUGGAGGACUAGUGGUUAGGUCUUGGCUCUCUCACCACCGCAGCCCGGGUUCGAUUCCCAGCCAGGGAA